CACUCAAGGCUCGUCUUACUGGUGGAGGUGAGUUUUGCAGAACACUGAAUGGUGCAUUGCACUGAGAAGUUGGUGACAGGGAAAACCUUGGAAAAGGGAAAAUCUUGACAGGGAAAAGUCUUGCGCAGGUGAAGGAGAAAUACAUGAGCCAGCAUAAAGAGAAGCCUCCCACCUCUGGAAUACACAGAGGUGAAGCAACUCUUAGCAGGGGACACAGUAGCAAAUCUGGAGGCUCACUGAAGCGGAGUUGCUGUGCCUGUGUCGGUGAUUGCCCUGGCUGCUCGGUUAACGAGCAAAAGAGAUUGUGCUGCCUUUGUGUUUACUUCUGGUAUCGCUUCCCCGUAAUUGCAAGGGACCCGACAGACAAUACAGGGUGAGAGAAGGCUGCUUCAGAGAGAAAACACGCUGUUUCGCUGUUUCGGAGAGAGAGGACACACUGCACAGAGAGGGGUGCAGGCAUGGAGACAAGGACCUGUUCUUACCCUUUGGCAGCAGUUACCAGAAGAUCAAAGGUGAGGUACUGAGUUUCUGACAUCUCCAUGCUCCUUCAGCUGGGUUUGCUGUGGUGCAACACUACCAGCAGAAAUUUCUGAAGCCCAAAGGUCUGCUGGAUCACCUGGAAGCAUGAGCGCUUCCCAACAAGCCUGGAGGCAAGAAGAUAGGAUGCUAUUUUAACCCAGAAGAUGCUUUUACAUGCAGCAUCCGCUUGAGCUAUUUCCCGUAGUGGCAGUCAGCUGCCCUGGCACAUUUGCAACUGUCAGGGAGUUUCUAACAAAGAGAUAUUUUAAAUGCUGAAAGAAAUGCUUCUUUCCAGAUGGAAGGCAGGUAAGGAGGUACCCCAGUUGCCCUAGACUUUUGUGCAAGUGAGUGGCUGGCAGGGCAGCAGAGGCCACCUCUUGCCUUUUGUAUAUCCAUGGAGACCCUUGUCACUGUACGGAAGCAGAUGAAGCACGCCUGGAGCCAAUGGGAGCAGAGCAUCCUGCACCAACGAUGCCGAGGCUAACCCGUUUAUGUGCUGCAGAAAGAAGGCUCCCAGGAACUUCACAGGACCUGCUGCAGUGCCUGAAAGAUAUUUGGUGGAGUUUUAACCUGCUUCACAUUCCCCUUGCUCUUACCUUUCCCUCCUCUCAGUUAUAGCUCUCCUCUGCAGAGUGGUCUCUGCGAAGGGGCACCUCUGAAAUGAGAGGUCUUGCUGCAUCUGCCUGUCAAAGUCCCACUCACUGACUGUAUCAGCAGUGAUGUUUAGUGCUCCUCAGCCUUAUGGUACUCCUGUGAGAUCCAGAAUGAGUUUGCAGGCUUGGUAGGUAGAUUAAUAAUGUUAUCCCUCACAGGACAGGAGUUUGCCCUGUGGCAGAUCCCAGCUUUUUACCCUGAAAGAUGCACAUGCAUCCAGCUACAUAAAAUGUAGCUGAGUUGAAUCCUUGCUUGGACCUGUGGCAGGGCUGGGACACAUGCCUGGGCCCCCAAAGUACCACAUGCUCAUCUGCCAUGCAGCAUCGCUACAGCCUCUGCUGCCUUCCUGCUUCUUUUAGUUGUGUUCUGCAUGCUUCUCUGUGGUUCUGAGAACAUUGCCUGCUCCUCUGACUCUGAAGUGAACAGGUUCUGUUUACUUUCCAUUAUAAUAAUUAAUGCUAUUACUUUUAUUACAGGCCUACCUAGAAUCUGCCUCUGAGGGAUGCAUUAGAGAAGAUGAUAGUUAAACACAUGGGAUAGGACAGGCUCUGCCCUGCAGACUUGAUAGUACUGGUGUAGGUCUUCCUCGACUUGGAAAUGUGCCAGUCACUCUUCUAAUUAAAUGCAGGUGCCAAUUUGGUAAAACCAAGUUGUUGAACAUGGCUUUAUGAACAUGUCCCUCCUUUCAGAUUCUGUUUCCCACUUCCCUGAAGGAGUCACAGAUAGGAAGAACUGGUCAAUGCUUGCCUGAGACUUUCCAGAUCUGUUUAUUCUGGUCGUGCCCUGGUCAUCCAAAGGAACCCCUGCUGGGAUAUAUUCCAUGAGUAAAUACACACAGCAAAAACAGAGCAAGACCAACGGCUAUCUUUGGACCCCAGCCAUUUCUUCAGAAAACCAAAGUGGCAUUCUCAUGAAACGCAUGCACUCCUCCAGUAACUCCAGCAGAAGAAAUGCAAAGAGACGCAGAGAAGCAGCCAGCGCCUGCCACAGCCUGGGCCAAUGGAGGAAUCAUGGGGCAUUCAGGGAAGCUCUACUUCACCACCCUAUUACCUUCUUGAACAACUUGUCACUUGUAUACCACUCAACUUUCUGCAAGUCAUAGAAUCAUAGAAUCAAGGAAUAAUUUGGGUUGGAAGGGACCUUAAAGACCAUCCAGUUCCAACCCCCCUGCCCCCCACCAGACCAGGCUGCUCAAGGCCCCAUCUGACCUGCCCUUCAAUACCUCCAGGGAUGGGGCAUCCACAACUUCGCUGGGCAACCUGUGCCAGUGCCUCACAGCUCUCAUGGUGAAGAAAUUCCUCCUUAUGUCUAGUCUAAAUCUGCCCCUCUCCAGUUUAUACCCAUUGCCCCUCGUACUAUCAAUACGUGCCUUUGUAAGAAGUCCCUCCCAAGCUUUCUUGUAGCCCUUUCUGAUACUGGAAGGUCACUAUAACGUCUCCCAGAGCCUUCCCUUUUCCAGGCUGAACAACCCCAACUCUCUCAGCCUGUCCUCAUAUGGGAGGUGCUCCAGCCCUCUGAUCAUCUUCAUAGCCCUUCUCUGGACCCAUUCCAACAGUUCCAUAUCCUUGCUAUGUUGAUCCCCACUGAUCAGAAACAGUGGAAGCUCAGCAAUGGCAUAGGGUGCCUGGGUAGCGGGGAGAGCAGAGGAAGAAGAACCGGCUGAAUUUUGUAGGAAUCUUGGUUAAGUUGAAAUCAGAUCAAAAUUCUUCAGGGACUUUAAGGCAGAUCAUCACAAACAGGAGAUUACUGUGAACCUCAGGAGACUGCCAUAGGAUUAGCAGUACUUUUGUAUUAUAUUUUAGAAGUCUGUCACACUUGAAGUGAGAAACUCAUUCCUCAGGUUAUUUUCCCUGUGAAAAUUGUUCUGCAAGUGCAAGGUGUGCCCUAGAGCAUUCCAAUUCAAAAGAAAAAAAGCACUGCCUUGAAGUAAACCAUAAAAUGCUUUGGGUGUGGGCUGGUGUGAGCCUGGAGAGGGGCUUCGCAGGUGGAUUCUCACACUGACAGCAAGAACAGCUGCAGCCUCUGAACAGGGAGACUCGAAUGUCACCC